ensembl:lncRNA
UAAACAGUGAGACAUCUAGUUGAGUUGAUGUGGCUGCAAAGGAGGAAAAACAGGGAGACUAAGAAAAAGAAGUGAGUUUUAUGGAGCAAUUUGAAGGGGGAAAAAGGAGAGUGAAAAAUGUGAGCUAUUUCAAGAAGCAUACAAGAAAAGUUACCAAACCGAGAGGUCAAAACACAAACAAAAGGAGCAUUGAGGAGAGUCUCCCAGGAGAAGAAAGAACUCGAUGAGAUUCCCUGCUUGCAUCUUUUGGUUGGAAAGAUGAGAGGCAGGGAUGUCCAAGCAAAGAAAACCUUAAUGGUCAUGGAUGAAGGUGACACGGUCAUGGACUAGUGAUUAAUUUCUGGAGAAGAGAAAAAGACAGCAAUUGGAAGUGGGAGAAGACUUGGAUGAAUGAGAAGAAGACUUGAAUGAGAAGAGAAGGGAAAAGGAAUUGAGAGUUCAGAUGGUGACGUUUUAUCACGGGUCGAGGGAGCUGGCCGUUUCUGUCAGGUUUGCUGAAUUUUACAUCACCUGCCAGAACUGUACAUAUGGGAUGGUCCGUUCACAGCGGCUCCCCACCACUACUCUCCCUGUCUCCUGCCAGCAUCCCCACCCUCGGCCUCUGAUCCCUCCUUCCUCUGUUGUGCACCCCUGCUCUCCUCCUUCCGUGGACGCCUCGGUCCUUGACUCUUCAGAAAGAUGUGCAGCUAUGUGGCUUGGAUGUGAAUAGAAGAGAAGAUGUGAAGAAGGUAGGAGAGAGGACGACUCCUGUUCUGCCACCCUGGCCACUUCUCAACGGCUCUGCUCCAACCAGCUCUUCUUCACCGUCUUUAAAGUCCUGUCUCUACUGCACAAUGUGGAUGUGCUCAGAGGAUGUGAGAUGCCUGUGUCCUCUCUCCAACUACACAAAAGCUCCCUGAGGGCAGGAACACUGCCUCAUGCCUCUGUGUAUCCCCAACAUGCCCAAGCCCAGUGCUGAGCACAUGGUGCUCAGUACGUUAUUGCCCUUUGCUUGAUCCCCAACAAGUGCCUUUUAAAUUGGGAUGCUCAGAGUUGAAAUAGUCUCUCAGUUGUUUUUGUUCGCCAUUCUUAAUCAUCUUCCUCUUGUUGAUAUGCUAUGGUGUCUGGAUCAUCCCACUUGAGUUGUAUUAACCCUAGGUGGACUUGAUGCCAGCCACCUGGGUGUUGCCCUCAGCACUUGCAUCCUGGCGCUCACCUCAUGUCCCUCAGUCUCUUGCGCUGGUUCCACAUCCCUGAGUCACGACCACUGUCCUUAGGUGUGUGUUUGUGCUUACUUGGUGUAUUCAUGCUCAUCUCAACUGUUGUUUAGCAAUGCUCUUUAUUCACCUUUUGCCAAUUUCCUGAUUCAAUGGCCUGUCCCAACAUUCUCCAUUCUUCCACUUCACCUCCAGGCCCAGAGCUUGAAAACUGUCUCACCUGCUUCUUUAUUGAGCUGGUGGGACCCCCAGGAGCCUGAGUACUGCAUCUCUGCAUCCCUCUUCUUCCAGAUAUGUGGAGGCAGUGGUGUUCUGGGUUGUUUUUGGUGUGGGGGGUUUUCCUUUCUCAUUUCCAAGGCUCACCCCUUUCCCAGAGGGCCUGACUCCUUCAGGAUUUUAACAACUCAAAUUCCCGUCCGUCUGCAGUUUUUAGAUACCAUCAAUUUUUCUCUCAUUUUUCCCCCUUAAUCAAAAAACAAAGAAAGCUGUGUCGCCACUAUAAUAAAUUGAAAAUCAACAAAAGCACUUGCUCUUCCUUUCUCCUUCAGUUUCCAUCCUAUUUUUUCUUUUGUCUAAGGAAAUGUCCACAAAUUCUACCUUUGUUGUGACUUGCUCACCCCUCAGUCUCGUCAGUCACCUGGUUUCCACCCCUCCCUCCAUGUUGUCCACGCUGGGAAAGGUGCCAGGAGCCUUGAAGAACCUUCCCUUGAUCAGAUGGUCUGGUUUCUCUGCAGCGUUCAAUGCUGUGGCCGCAGCCCCUGGCCUGACGCUCCCUCUUCCCUUCAAGGCUGUCACACUCUGGGUUCCUCUUCCUUCUUACUGCUCUUUCCCCACCCAGGCUGCCCAAAGGGGCACUGCCCAAGGUUCUGUCUCUGCGCGGUUCCCUAGCAGAGUCUUUCACACCCAAGGCUCCAGGCAUGACUACCUCUAGGCAGGGUCACACUGUCACACUUCCAGUUGUCUACUGGAUUCUUCCAGGUGUCCGUCCUACUAUUACUUAAAACUUAAAAUAUCUCAAAUUUAAUUUAUUUCCCCCCAAACUGUUCAUUUUCUAUUCUACUAACCUCAAGCCUCAAGGUUACUGCCCACCCAUUAACUAUAAUAUCAUUAAAGUUUCUGAUUCCUUUAGCUCAACCCUCUAGCUCACAUAUUCAAUUCCCUUCACCACAGUCCUAAUUCUGUCCCUUAUCCCUUGCACUUGGACUAUUGAAAUUAGUCUAUUAAAAUACUUCUGUUAAAAUGCACUCUUCUACUCAAAACAUCCAAUGGUCCCCUAUUAUUAUUAUUAUUAUUUACAGAAUCAAGUCCAAUCUUCUUAGCCUAACAUUCAGACCUUUCUUAAUCUAAUCCCGACUUUGUUUUCCCACCAUUUCUCCCUCUACCAUGUUUCCGUUAAAUAAAUAAAUCACUCCAGCAAACGGUUCUGCUCAUAAGCUCCCAAACACUUAUGUUCUCUUGUAUGCACACAACUGUUUUGUCCGUCCUGAUACACUCAUCCAUCUUGUUCCCAUCUCUCCUCACCUAACCUUUCUUCAAAUUCCAAUUCAAAUCCUGCCUUUCAGAAAACCUUCCUUGACCUUCUCCAUCUAAGUUAAUGUCUUCUUCCCAUAAAAACGCCGUUUAAUUCCCGUAAACUCCUGGCAGUUUGUGAAAUUAUGUAAAAUUACAGUUUACGUUUUAAUUUAAUGCUUAAUUUUCCUUAUGUUAUCUUCCUGACCAGAUUGUUUGCUCCAUUUGGAUCGGGACCCCCAACUGGCGCCUAGCUCAGACUUAGUAAAUGCUGGCUGUUGUCUUCUGAGUUUCCGUGGAUUUAUAAAUACAAGUUACCACAGUAAAUCGAGUCGUCAGCCUCUGUGUUUGUGACAGCAGACACCUAGAGUAGGAGCAACUGUGUGCAGUGGGGGAUUCUGUUGUACCUCUUCCCAAACACAAUCUUAUUUAUUGGCUGCCCAUGGAACUGUUAGCGUGGAUCCCUCUUCACAAAGCUCUCUCCAGUUCUCGCCGUGAUGGUGAAAUAGUGUCUUGCGACUCAUUGUCCGUGGACCAGCAACAGCGCCAUCACCUGGGAGCUUGUUAGAAACGCAGAAUCUCAGGACGCUCCUCAGAAUCAGCAUUUUCAUGAGACCGUUAGGUGAUUCACUUCACAUUAAAGUUUGAAAAGCACUGAAAUAAAACAGAUUUGGGAACCAGACAGCGCUGGAAAUCCAUCUCAGGUGGCAUGAAUGUGAAGCUUGACGAUUCUGCACGAAUCUUAAAGCAAUAUGUGCACAGUGAUGGGUGAUGAUAUAAGAUACCUGCAUUUUGUGGACCAGAGUCCUGCUCUGAGCAGUGUCCACCCAAUAAUAAUGCCCAAGACUAUACAAGCCCUGAAAGAGAGGCCUGCAGCCUAACUCUCGGCUCAGGAAAUCCCUCCAAGGUGUGCACUCCACCCUCUGGCCCUCACUUGUUUCUGUCCUGUUGCCCUCUUCCUGGGCCUUCCCCUCACCCUUCUAGAGAUGGCUGCAUUAGGCAGGCUGGACUGUCUUCCUCCAGUCAUUCACUCCUCUCAACACCCCACACCAGGCCAGGCCCCUGGAGAGGAAGGGACUGGAACCACGUAUAACCCAGGCGUGUUGCCCCAGAGAGUGUUUUCCUCUAGUGGUCAUCUUCUGCCAUCUUUACUCUGUCAUGUUCCUCAAAGCCAUGUGGAGAAAUGGAAGCACUUUAAGCCUUGUAGUUGUUAUUUCCUAUCGGGAUCUGUUCUUUUCCUACAAGGCUUUUCCUAAGUAUAUCUUCAUUUUGAACAGUAAGAAAAAAUUGCUACUCAUAUAAAAGAGCAAAGACAGCAGAUAAAGAACAGGCAAACCAUUUUGGUGUGAACUGGGUUCUCCUUAACCCUGAGAACCACCAAUGGCAUUAGUUUCUUUAUUCAGGCAUCCAUUUGCAACAAAUAUUAUUGAGUUUCUACUUGUGCCAGGUGCUAUUCUAUGGAGUACAGCUAUGUUGGUGAACAAGACAAAGUCUUUUGUCCUGUUAUGAUAAACAUUUGGCGUGGGGAAGGAAGGAGAGAGAGAGAGAGAGAGAACGAAAACAAAUAAAACAAAAUCCCUGGCCUCAAGUCUGCAGAGUAAGUGGAAUAGUCUAGGCACAGAUAGGAGGAAGAAGAGGACUCGAUGCGGGAAAGUAGAGGAGAGGAAGGCAAGAGGUAGAGAAAGAAGUCAGAAGGACAUGGGAAUCGUAUGGGAUGCCAACAACAAGCCACUGCCCCAGCCCCAGCCAGCACCGUGCAGUGGGCUUCCUCCCCAGGGCCUGCGGCCAAAGAGAGAGGGCAUUUGUUCUUUGGAGGGAAGAGAGCUCCAGAAGGAAAAUACGCUAAUAAGCCAGAGGCGAAAAAGGCACUUAGUAACAAGAAACCUUCUGAGGAGAGGAAGUGAGGAAUCAGAUUAGAGCAAAGAUAGAAGUUGGAAUUUUAAAGCUCUGUAAUUGGCAGAGGUUACAAGGCCACUUCAGAGGCUCCUGCUCUCAGAGUUCUCACAGUCCUGUGCGAUAGUCACACAAACACGUCGGUGUGUGAAUGUAGGAGCGUAUGUGUAUAUGAUGUGUGCUGGGAUGGUGGGGGGCGCGGCGCUAGGGCAGAGGGAAAGAAAGAAGGGAAGGCCAUUAAAAGCCUUGCUGAGAAAGGUAUUUCUUGUGCACAAAAAAGAAUCAGGCCCCUCGCUCCCUACUGAGCCCAUUUCUCCUGCCUUUGCCCGAGCUGUCAGGCAUGAAUCCCUGUAGCAUUCCGUAACUAAUUGACAGUAAUGGGGGCCAUUGGGAGCCUAAGAAUACAUGGCAUUGCCCGGCAUGCACUGGGAGGAGGGGAGGGCUGCCUCGGGGGCAGCUGUGGGGAAAAUAAAAGCUGUCUUGUAAACUUUUUUUUUCUAAUAGAAGGUAGGAGGUAGAAAGUAGGGAAGAGCAGAUUUAGGCAAACUUCUGCUUUAGCCUAAAAAUAAAAAAUUGGAAAUCGCAUAUCUUAUCCUGAGCUAAUGUCCCAGGAUACUAAGUUUGCCACAGAGAAGAAACAGAUGGAAUUUCAAUUAACCCCAGGGCCCCCUGUGAAAUCUAUAUUGUACCCUCUGGAUUUACAACAUAUUGUAAUAUAUGACUGCAGGCUCCAGAGAUUCCAUCGCAAAUCAACCCUCUUUAUUCCAGGGGUUCAGAAAACAGCUACAAAGGCCCACUUAAGAAUCAAAAGUGGCCAACUUUUUACAACUUCAUCCUCAGACUUGAAAUCAGGUUUUUAAUUUUACAACAGAUCUUAUUUAUUGAGCAGGCUCAUGCUUUUUUAGGAGGGAACGUUUAUUUUUUCCCUUCUAUUAAUGAUGAUGUUUGUGUGCUAAAAUUGUUUAGCCCAAAUAGAAAAAUUGGAAAAAAUACACCAUUUUCACACCUUGAAGCGUGAUUCACCACAGACCUACAGUAAAUUAUCUUCCAAGGGUUUCUUAUAAUUUAAAAAUUCAUACCUUUGUAUGAAUGUAGUCAUUAAUGGUAAAAAUACUUGAAAAUAAAAGCAGUUACCUCUGCUAUGAAUAUCACAUGAAGCUGUAAAAGUUGACAUAACUUUUAAGAAUUCCAAGUUGUUUUUCAAAACCAGAAUUGUUUAUCAGGUACCUAUAAACUUAUUGCUUCGACUUUUCUUUUCUGUUAUUACUAGCCUUGCCUUUCUGCGUGUGUUCUUCAGUUCAAAAACGAUAUUUGCAUAAACAUUCAACUUUCACACACAAAAAAAGUUUAAAAUUAAUUUUGGCUUUGUGAUAUUUGGCCUAAAUUCUCUGUACAUUUUUCUUAGCAGACUUCUUUUCCCUAAAGUUGCGCCUCACCUCACGUGGCUCAUGAACUUCUGCAGAGAUGAAUUUUCUCCAUGCCGUAGCUCUGACUCUACUCUCUGGGUUACUGUUCGCUUGUCCAGCACCAUUUAACAGGAGAUUUGCCUCUGGAAUAUUCCUGAGGAAUAUCUCUAGGAAAUCGGAUAAGCAGAGUUCCUGUACUUUGAGAAAAAGUCGCUGUGGGGAACUGAAGUGUCUUUUUAAAGAAGAGCGAGGGUUAGAAUAUGAUGUGAAGGGUCUCCCUUGCUAAGGUCACCAUGAGGAACCGAGGACCAGGACAACCCAUUAGACUCACAGAGGUUGAGAGCUGGAGGAAUAGAAAGAGAUGUCAUUCAGCAGCUACGAUAGUGUGUGUCCCCACUUUUCAGUUUCCUGGAGGGGAAUAAGCAGAAUUCAAUGAGGCCAUCGUGGGGAUGUUCCCCUCUGAAUAGUCAGGAUGGCGGAUUCUCCAGCCAACUCUUCCUUUCCCCCACAGAGCGCACGGUCUUGGAGGAGUACAUCAGGGAAUGCUUCUCUCUCACGCAUCUUCCAGCAUGUGGCCAGACCAGCAGGGGCCAUUAUAUGGCAAGGACAUCCAUUCAAAUCAAGCUGAGAGCCUUAGUGUGACUCAAGGACUCUUGUCGGGGCCCCAGGGAAACUCAAGGAUCUGAACAACUCACUCUUCAGCAGAUUCGGACAUUGGCUCCAAUGUUGGAAGAAGGUUUUUCUAAUGGAACAAGCCCCUAUUUCUAGUGACAUUGGUUUAUCUCCUUAAACCAGUCUUUCAUCAGGAAAAAAAUAUGGUGUUUUUAAAGAGGUCGAACAUUUGCCUGUUUUGGACAUCUUAAUAUCAGGCAAUCAAAGGUCAUUUUAGUGUAAUUAUUAAGGUUUAUUUCCUCAUCCGAACAAAAACAUGGAUUUGUUAUUAAACCCAGACCAACAUUCAUUUAACCUGUCUCUUUUCCAUCUUAGUUAUCAUUUAUUUUGGAAAGAGCAAAUAUGUGGUUACUUAAAAAUAAUAUACCAACCAAAUGUUAAGAGGGACUGGGUUUUUGUUUGCUUUCUUAACCUUUUGCGUGUAUUUAUCACAUAUGAAGAAUGAAAGUCAAUCCUGUAGUACUUACUAUGUGCCACUGUUCUAAGUGCUUUACAUGUGUCAAUUAUCUAAUCAUCACAAUACUCUAUGAGGUAUUAUUAGCCUCCUUUUCCAAAGAGAGAAUAUUAACGACAUAAACAGGGUUCUGAGUCCAUGGUCGUUUCUCAGCCUUCGGAGGUUAUGGCCGGGCCUCAGCUUCCUGAUGACCGGUUCAUUUGCAGAGUUGACAGUGACUUGUUUUAACACAUAGUUGGUAUGGUUCUUCCUCUUCCUGUUUCCUCCCUCUGACUUCUCCACAUCUGCCCUGAGAACUGCGCCACUUACAACAGCUUACUUGAGACUCCCUUAGUUAUUACGUUUGGUAACUUUACUUUCCUAUUCCUGCUUUUAUUUUUAUCCUGUUAAUUUCGUAUUCCAACUCCACCAGGAGUUAAGGCAAGACAAAAGGAGCAGGAAAGGACAACAGAAGAGGUGCUCUGAAAUCGCCUGGUUUAAAGCUUCAUACUCAGAGAACGUGGGGAAAGUAUACUGAAUAACUCAAUUGAAACAAAUAGAUAGUUGGUGAAAUGUUUUGCUAUUACUUUACUUUCUCCUUGUUUUUUUUUUUUUUUCUCAAUUGGUUUUACUAUUUUAUCAUAUUGUCUCCUGAAGACUCAAACCAUGACUGUUUUUAAUCACUUUGCUGGACCACGGAAAGUGUGUACAGUAGACCAAACAAGUUUUCUAUUAGAUUUUACACAUUGGUUUUUCCCAAAAGUCGUCACUGACAAGGCCUUCCCACAAGUAUCUAUUCCCUUCUUUGAACUCUCUUGGCACUCACACACACAGCCAGUAUCUCACCACCAAGCCCCUGUUUAUUAUCUUGGCUCGGAAUUGUUCUCUAUUCAUUUAAUUUACAUACAUCUUGGCUUCAGAACCAGGUUCCCAAAAAAGGGCUAUUCUUUUUCUUUGCAGAUUCUGCAGAGCCUGAUUUUGUAGGCCAGAUGAAUUAAUUUGUAGAGCUGAAUCAGGGAGAGCGCUCUAUGUAAAUGGCAUAUAUCCCUGAAGUCUUAUUGCUGAGCACAAGAGCACUGGAUUGAUGGGGACAGGGCCACAGAGAUGAAGUGUCACAGCGAGGGUAGGAGGAAAGUUGGUCUACCUUGGGCCAGACUUGCACGUGGGGGAAGAUAAUCCUAGGUGAGGACAGGAGCCAGGGUGGCUGCAAAGAUGAGAGCCAGAGUCCAGCUUGAGCCCUCUGUGGUUGUGAGACCACAGGAGGAAGACUGUCCAGAAUUUUGGAAGAUUCUAAAGUUACAGACCAGAAGUAAGAUUGGGUUUUCUCUAAACAAAAAAAGAGACAUUCUCUGUGACAUUUGUGGAGAAGAGUCCAGGAGAAACAUCUACACUGAGAAUGGAAAGCAAACCCCUAAGACACUAGAGGUGAAGAUGUUCAAAGACAAGCAUUGAUGUGGCUGAGUGACUUGCCAGGAAUCUUUGAUUGGACCAUUCUCACAACACUGAGCCCAGAAUCUCAUUUUUGUGGUUCAACAGCUCUCCAUCCAUUCUCUGCAGAUGGCCCUCCUCACCGUCAGCGUGUGUUUUGACCAUUCGUUCUUCAGUCUUUGGAAGCUCUGAGAAGUAUUGUUUAAGGAGGAUGGAUUUCUGCUGUGAGAGCAGAGUCGCACCAUGUGGACUCCCGAGCUUGGGAGAGGGCACCGUUGCAAUGAUGGCUACUCAGCGUUACCCAGUAACCAAGUGUUACUAUUUCAGGCUCUAUCUUUUCCUACCUAUUAGCAAGCUGUUUUUAUGUCUCCAGAAAUCAUUUCUUCCUGUCAUUUAAGAACAAUAAAAUAGG